rnacentral:rRNA from 1 species
ACUUAAAUUGAAGAGUUUGAUCAUGGCUCAGAUUGAACGCUGGCGGCAGGCCUAACACAUGCAAGUCGAGCGGUAGCACAGAGAGCUUGCUCUCGGGUGACGAGCGGCGGACGGGUGAGUAAUGUCUGGGAAACUGCCUGAUGGAGGGGGAUAACUACUGGAAACGGUAGCUAAUACCGCAUAACGUCGCAAGACCAAAGUGGGGGACCUUCGGGCCUCAUGCCAUCAGAUGUGCCCAGAUGGGAUUAGCUAGUAGGUGGGGUAACGGCUCACCUAGGCGACGAUCCCUAGCUGGUCUGAGAGGAUGACCAGCCACACUGGAACUGAGACACGGUCCAGACUCCUACGGGAGGCAGCAGUGGGGAAUAUUGCACAAUGGGCGCAAGCCUGAUGCAGCCAUGCCGCGUGUGUGAAGAAGGCCUUCGGGUUGUAAAGCACUUUCAGCGGGGAGGAAGGCGUUAAGGUUAAUAACCUUAGCGAUUGACGUUACCCGCAGAAGAAGCACCGGCUAACUCCGUGCCAGCAGCCGCGGUAAUACGGAGGGUGCAAGCGUUAAUCGGAAUUACUGGGCGUAAAGCGCACGCAGGCGGUCUGUCAAGUCGGAUGUGAAAUCCCCAGGCUCAACCUGGGAACUGCAUUCGAAACUGGCAGGCUAGAGUCUUGUAGAGGGGGGUAGAAUUCCAGGUGUAGCGGUGAAAUGCGUAGAGAUCUGGAGGAAUACCGGUGGCGAAGGCGGCCCCCUGGACAAAGACUGACGCUCAGGUGCGAAAGCGUGGGGAGCAAACAGGAUUAGAUACCCUGGUAGUCCACGCCGUAAACGAUGUCGAUUUGGAGGUUGUGCCCUUGAGGCGUGGCUUCCGGAGCUAACGCGUUAAAUCGACCGCCUGGGGAGUACGGCCGCAAGGUUAAAACUCAAAUGAAUUGACGGGGGCCCGCACAAGCGGUGGAGCAUGUGGUUUAAUUCGAUGCAACGCGAAGAACCUUACCUGGUCUUGACAUCCACAGAACUUUCCAGAGAUGGAUUGGUGCCUUCGGGAACUGUGAGACAGGUGCUGCAUGGCUGUCGUCAGCUCGUGUUGUGAAAUGUUGGGUUAAGUCCCGCAACGAGCGCAACCCUUAUCCUUUGUUGCCAGCGGUCCGGCCGGGAACUCAAAGGAGACUGCCAGUGAUAAACUGGAGGAAGGUGGGGAUGACGUCAAGUCAUCAUGGCCCUUACGACCAGGGCUACACACGUGCUACAAUGGCAUAUACAAAGAGAAGCGACCUCGCGAGAGCAAGCGGACCUCAUAAAGUAUGUCGUAGUCCGGAUUGGAGUCUGCAACUCGACUCCAUGAAGUCGGAAUCGCUAGUAAUCGUAGAUCAGAAUGCUACGGUGAAUACGUUCCCGGGCCUUGUACACACCGCCCGUCACACCAUGGGAGUGGGUUGCAAAAGAAGUAGGUAGCUUAACCUUCGGGAGGGCGCUUACCACUUUGUGAUUCAUGACUGGGGUGAAGUCGUAACAAGGUAACCGUAGGGGAACCUGCGGUUGGAUCACCUCCUUACCUUAAAGAA